UACGUAGGGUGCGAGCGUUGUCCGGAAUUACUGGGCGUAAAGAGCUCGUAGGCGGUUUGUCGCGUCGAAUGUGAAAACCCGGGGCUCAACCCCGGGCCUGCAUUCGAUACGGGGCAGACUAGAGUUCGGUAGGGGAGUCUGGAAUUCCUGGUGUAGCGGUGAAAAUGCGCAGAUAUCAGGAGGAACACCGAUGGCGAAGGCAGGUCUCUGGGCAUUAACUGACGCUGAGGAGCGAAAGCAUGGGGAGCGAACAGG
rnacentral:rRNA from 1 species